rnacentral:RNase_P_RNA from 1 species
GUUGCCAACAGCAACCCGAGGCGACUCGCGGGACAGUGCCACAGAGAAGAGACCGCCGACCGGUCCUCGGAUCGGUCGGUCAGGGUGAAACGGUGCGGUAAGAGCGCACCAGCACCCCGGGUGACCGGGGUGGCUCGGUAAACCCCGCCCGGAGCAAGAUCGAAGGUCGCACCGCCGUUCGCGGUGGUGCGUCUGCGCAGGUGUUCGAGGGCUGCUCGCCCGAGCCUGCGGGUUGAUCGCUCGAGGUACCCGGCGACGGUGUGCCCAGAUGGAUGGUCGCCACCCGGGAUUCGUCCCGGGGACAGGAUCCGGCUUACACGCCGACUCGUCCG